UUAAAUUGAAGAGUUUGAUCAUGGCUCAGAUUGAACGCUGGCGGCAGGCCUAACACAUGCAAGUCGAACGGUAACAGGAAGAAGCUUGCUUCUUUGCUGACGAGUGGCGGACGGGUGAGUAAUGUCUGGGAAACUGCCUGAUGGAGGGGGAUAACUACUGGAAACGGUAGCUAAUACCGCAUAACGUCGCAAGACCAAAGAGGGGGACCUUCGGGCCUCUUGCCAUCGGAUGUGCCCAGAUGGGAUUAGCUAGUAGGUGGGGUAACGGCUCACCUAGGCGACGAUCCCUAGCUGGUCUGAGAGGAUGACCAGCCACACUGGAACUGAGACACGGUCCAGACUCCUACGGGAGGCAGCAGUGGGGAAUAUUGCACAAUGGGCGCAAGCCUGAUGCAGCCAUGCCGCGUGUAUGAAGAAGGCCUUCGGGUUGUAAAGUACUUUCAGCGGGGAGGAAGGGAGUAAAGUUA
rnacentral:rRNA from 1 species